GAACAAUUCUUUCUGAUGCCAUGAUCAUAUGGGUUUCUAAAGCGACCACCUGGGCCUCUAAGAUAGCUAUAACGCAUUGCAUUUGCCAUUUCAUUUGUUGUUAUAUUGCGAGAUAUCUGAGAAGCUUGCACAACAGUUAAUACUGCCACACCAAAGAACAGGGAAAAAUCCACAAAAAGAAAGGAAAUAGCACCAGUAUGAUGUGUCCCAACAUGGUUUAUCCACGCUCCAAAUGUAGAGGGAGCUGCAGGAUCAGUUAGAACUCUUGUAAGAGCCACUGCACCAGCAAUCAACAUUGCCAAAACUUCUAGAACAAGAAACACAAAGAAAUCCCAUUUGUUUUUCUUGCCAAUGCAAUUAGAUACCCAGGGGCAAUGAUGAUCAAAUUGUUCAACACAACGGUCGCAGGUGGAACAGUGCUUUGCACGAAGUGGUCUAACAAUCUUGCAUGUUGCACAGAGUUGAGUCCAAUUUCCAGCUAGCAAAGCAGGAUUAUUUAUCUCGAUCUUCAAAAGAGGUUCAUCAUCUUUCAUGCUUUGUGGAUCAUGCACAUUCAUUCUAAUGAAACCUGGAUCCUUCCUGCUACACCUAUAAAACAUAAAAAGUCCAGCAGUUGCUAGGAAAACACCCAACCAGGCAAGAAGGCCAAAGCCUGCUGUUAGCCUUGGUAGAUUAGAAUCCAUUAUGACAGAAUGAAUAUAGGUCACCAAGAGUAGUAGUAUUAUAGACCAAAGUACAGGAGCAAGUCCCAACUUUGAGAGACGUCCCAGGCGGCU
rnacentral:misc_RNA from 1 species